rnacentral:rRNA from 1 species
UACGUAGGGACCGAGCGUUGUCCGGAAUCAUUGGGCGUAAAGAGCGUGUAGGCGGCCAGGUAGGUGGGUUGUGAAAACUGGAGGCUCAACCUUCAGACGUCGACCCAAACCCCCUGGCUAGAGUCCGGAAGAGGAGAGUGGAAUUCCUGGUGUAGCGGUGAAAUGCGCAGAUAUCAGGAAGAACACCCGUGGCGAAGGCGGCUCUCUGGGACGGUACUGACGCUGAGACGCGAAAGCGUGGGGAGCGAACAGG